rnacentral:rRNA from 1 species
GGGCUCCUACGGGGGGCAGCAGUGGGGGAUAUUGCACAAUGGGGGGAACCCUGAUGCAGCGACGCCGCGUGGGCGAUGGAGCGCCUCGGCGCGUAAAGCCCUAUCAGCAGGGAAGAAGAUGACGGUACCUGACUAAGAAGCCCCGGCUAAAUACGUGCCAGCAGCCGCGGUAAUACGUAUGGGGCAAGCGUUAUCCGGAUUUACUGGGUGUAAAGGGCGCGUAGGCGGAUGUGCAAGUCAGUCGUGAAAUACCGGGGCUCAACCCCGGGGCUGCGAUUGAAACUGCACACCUUGAGUAUCGGGGG